rnacentral:ncRNA from 1 species
AGAUGAGAGUUACCCCCCGUCCGCAGGGGACUGCGGACGGCUUCAGGCCGGGGCUUGUCCAGUGCCGGCCUGGUCGUGCCCUCGCGCACACCACCGGCGCCUGACGGCUCCGGGAUCUCCUCACCGGUCGGA